GGAGGAAUACCGAAGUGGUCAUAACGGGGCGGUCUUGAAAACCGUUAGGGCUAACGCCCACGGGGGUUCGAAUCCCUCUUCCUCCGCCA
rnacentral:tRNA from 1 species